GGGGAUAUAGCUCAGUUGGUAGAGUGUACAACCCUCACGUGAACAAGGCCCUGGGUUCAAUCCCCAGCACCUCA
rnacentral:tRNA from 1 species